rnacentral:rRNA from 1 species
UACAGAGGUCUCAAGCGUUGUUCGGAUUCAUUGGGCGUAAAGGGUGCGUAGGUGGCGCGGUAAGUCGGGUGUGAAAUUUCGGAGCUUAACUCCGAAACUGCAUUCGAUACUGCCGUGCUUGAGGACUGGAGAGGAGACUGGAAUUUACGGUGUAGCAGUGAAAUGCGUAGAUAUCGGGAGGAACACCAGUGGCGAAGGCGACUACCUGGCCUGUUCUUGACGCUGAGGCGCGAAAGCUAGGGGAGCAAACGGG